rnacentral:sRNA from 1 species
AUGGUGUCGUCAGCUCGUGUCGUGAGAUGUUGGGUUAAGUCCCGCAACGAGCGCAACCCUUGUCAUUAGUUGCUACAUUCAGUUGGGCACUCUAAUGAGACUGCCGGUGACAAACCGGAGGAAGGUGGGGAUGACGUCAAGUCCUCAUGGCCCUUAUGGGUAGGGCUUCACACGUAAUACAAUGGCGCGUACAGAGGGUUGCCAAGGAGCGAUCUGGAGCCAAUCCCGCAAAGCGCGUCGUAGUCCGGAUUGCAGUCUGCAACUCGACUGCAUGAAGUCGGAAUCGCUAGUAAUCGCGGAUCAGCAUGUCGCGGUGAAUACGUUCCCGGGUCUUGUACACACCGCCCGUCACACCAUGGGAGUGGGUUCCACCAGAAGCCGGUCGCUUAACCGCAAGGAUGGCGCCGACCACGGUGAGAUUCAUGACUGGGGUGAAGUCGUAACAAGGUAGCCGUAUCGGAAGGUGCGGCUGGAUCACCUCCUUUCUAGAGAAAAGCGCUUCCCAGCGCCCACCAUCUAUCGGCUGUUCCUUAAACGAGCGACCAAUCGGGUCUGUAGCUCAGUUGGUUAGAGCACCGUCUUGAUAAGGCGGGGGUCGAUGGUUCGAAUCCAUCCAGACCCACCAGAUCCGCUCGCUCUUUAACAAUCUGGGAUAGAAGGUAGUUGUCUUUUCGAAAGGGCGUUGUGAUGACGCUUUAGUAGGAAGGACACUGGGUUAUGUAUUGCAUCGUGUCCUCACUCGUUCAUGGGUGAGGUGCACAAACUUAAGCGUGAGAGUUAAACCUAUGGCGUUGUGAUGGCGUGGGCGACUUUGGUCUGCGUCGCUUCUUGCUCUAAAGGCGGAGGCAGCAAGGUUAUAGGGUCAAGCGAAUAAGUGCAUGUGGUGGAUACCUUGGCAAUGAUAGGCGACGAAGGACGUGACAGCCUGCGAUAAGCUGCGGGGAGCCGGCAAAUGGGCUUUGAUCCGCGGAUUUCCGAAUGGGGAAACCCGG